GUGCUUGCUUCGGCAGCACAUAUACUAAAAUUGGAAUGAUACAGAGAAGAUUAUCCUGACCCCUGUGCAAGGAUGACAUGCAAAUUCAUGAAGCAUUCCAUAUUUUU
ensembl:snRNA U6 U6 spliceosomal RNA